AUGCUCUAUGGAAAUCUGCUGACUCACUCCAGCAGGAUCAUGGCUCAGUCUGAGGACGAGCCGUGUCUCUCAGAGGUUUUUGUACGACGACUCAACCAGUUUGUAUCACUGUGGUGGACGUUUGGUGGAGGAACCAGACUGGAGGUUGGAACUGAUAAACUGACAGGUUUCUAUAAAGGAAGUGAAACAAGGUGUGAGAGUCAGACUGGUGAUACCCGUCCCAUCCUGACGGUGCUGCCUCCCUCCAGUGAGGAGCUACAGCAGGGGAAGGCCACGCUCAUGUGUCUGGCCAACAAGGGCUUCCCCUCAGACUGGAGUCUGUCCUGGAAGGUGGACGGCAGCAGCAGCAGCUGGGAGGAGGACAGGAGCCCCGUGGUGAUGAAGGACGGCCUCUACAGCUGGAGCAGCACCCUGAGGCUCACUGCAGACCAGUGGAGGAAGGUGGGCUCUGUGACCUGUGAGGCCACCCAGGGCUUCCAGUCUCCAGUCUCAGAGUCACUCAGGAGAGACCAGUGUUCCCAGUGAAAGCAGGCUCACUGGACCUGUUCUCAUCACUGGGUUUUUUCUUGCGAAUGUUGUCAUUUUCUGUAUUUUUGAUUUAUAUUUCCUAGUUUAAACAGUUUCUUAUUUCAACAUCUGCACACAAUAAAACAGAUUAAAUAAAUUAAAGU